rnacentral:rRNA from 1 species
CCUACGGGAGGCAGCAGUAAGGAAUAUUGGUCAAUGGACGCAAGUCUGAACCAGCCAUGCCGCGUGCAGGAUGAAGGCCCUCUGGGUUGUAAACUGCUUUUAUAGGGGACGAAAAAGGGACUUUCUAGUUCAACUGACGGUACCCUAGGAAUAAGCACCGGCUAACUCCGUGCCAGCAGCCGCGGUAAUACGGAGGGUGCAAGCGUUAUCCGGAUUUACUGGGUUUAAAGGGUGCGUAGGUGGGUCGGUAAGUCAGCGGUGAAAUCUUCAAGCUUAACUUGGAAACUGCCAUUGAUACUAUCGAUCUUGAAUCAUCUGGAGGUAAGCGGAAUAUGUCAUGUAGCGGUGAAAUGCUUAGAUAUGACAUAGAACACCAAUUGCGAAGGCAGCUUACUACGGAUGUAUUGACACUGAGGCACGAAAGCGUGGGGAUCAAACAGGAUUAGAUACCCUGGUAGUCCACGCCCUAAACGAUGGAUACUCGACAUACGUGAUAUACUAUGUGUGUCUGAGCGAAAGCAUUAAGUAUCCCACCUGGAAGUACGAUCGCAGAUUGAAACUCAAAUGAAAUUGACGG